AGCAAAGAGGCGCGUUGUAUGCUGGAACUUGUAGUUUCCAGAAACUGCCAUGCGUCUGUCAAACUCUCCAAACCCUCCUCACCCCGCCUGUUGUCAUGGUAGGCUUCGGGGACGCGCAAGUCCCUCUUCACGCACUUGCUUUGUACAGCUAGUUCAUGGAGGGAAUGGACUGUAGACUUCACAAGUUUUUUGUGAUGCUCUGCAAGCGCUGCCUUGCUCGACUCAGAAGACAAAUAAAAAGCUCUCUGAGGCGCGCCUUUCCUUGCGCGUAAGUGGAAUCGCUGAAUGGUUCCUUGGAAGCACUCAUGGGCUGGACGAAGAUUGGGACAAGCCAGGUGCUACAGCCACGUCCACUGUUUCUUCACAAACCUCUGCAACAGUGAUGAUGGUCUGCACCCAGUCUUAUCCUGCAGAGGCAGAUGCUGCACGCUGCAUAACUGGAGGACCCCUUGGAUUUUCACAAAUCUUGUUUGAAACCACCCCAAACCAUUUUUAUGUUCUCUUUUUUUGUGUGUGGGGGGGUGUUUUUAUUGUUAUGAAGCAUCAGCCUCAAUACUAGGAUUAAUAUUUAAAAAAUGAAUAAUUGUGCAAUU